UGGACCAAUGAUGAGAGCAUACCAUGAACCAAGGCUUGUAAUUAACCCAAUAUGGCAAAUGAGGUCCAAG
rnacentral:snoRNA from 1 species